GAUUCCGGUUGAUCCUGCCGGACCCGACUGCUAUCGGAUUGGGACUAAGCCAUGCGAGUCAACUCCGCAAGGGGUGGCGCACGGCUCAGUAACACGUAGUCAACCUACCCUAGGGACGGGGAUAACCUCGGGAAACUGAGGCUAAACCCCGAUAGGCUAUAGCCUCUGGAAUGAGCUAUAGCUGAAAUCUAUAUGGCCCUAGGAUGGGACUGCGGCCGAUCAGGUAGUUGGUGGGGUAAUGGCCCACCAAGCCUAUAACCGGUGCGGGCUCUGAGAGGAGGAGCCCGGAGAUGGGCACUGAGACAAGGGCCCAGGUCCUAUGGGGCGCAGCAGGCGCGAAACCUCCGCAAUGGGCGAAAGCCCGACGGGGUUAGUCCGAGUGGUCCCUGCUGAAGGGGCCUUUUGCCAGCUGUAAAAAGGCUGGCGAAUAAGGGGUGGGCAAGUUUGGUGUCAGCCGCCGCGGUAAUACCAGCACCCCGAGUGGUCGGGACGAUUAUUGGGCCUAAAGCAUCCGUAGCCGGCUUAGCAAGUCCUCCGUUAAAUCCAACGGCUUAACCGUUGGGCUGCGGAGGAUACUGCUAAGCUAGGGGGCGG
rnacentral:rRNA from 1 species